CCAUGCUCUUCUUAUCUGCAUGUGCGUCGAUUUCUCUGAUGUUUGAUUCCACAAGUAUGUCUAACAAGUCGUCAUUACUCUUUUCACCUGCUCUAAUUGCCUUCUCCCUUCUCUUUACCAUUUCCGUAAGCGACUCUUUUAUAUCAUUGUAUUCCAACUUCAUCUCCCUGUUUGUCUUGGUUGGCAAAAACCUUUGCA